UACGAACUGUGCGAACGUUAUUCGGAAUCACUGGGCUUACAGGGUGCGUAGGCGGCUCAACAAGUCAGGUGUGAAAGCCCCCGGCUCAACCGGGGAACUGCGCUUGAAACUGUUGGGCUCGAGUCAGCUAGAGGUACACGGAACUUCCAGUGGAGCGGUGAAAUGUGUUGAUAUUGGAAGGAACACCGGAGGCGAAAGCGGUGUACUGGGGCUGGUCUGACGCUGAGGCACGAAAGCCAGGGGAGCGAACGGG
rnacentral:rRNA from 1 species